CUUGGCGCCCAUGGCGGGUCCCUCCUCCAUGCGGGACGCGGCGAGCGCGUGCGCGGCGGCGAGCAGCGGGGUUUGCUGGCGCGGAGCAGGAGCCAUAGCGCGGGGCGGACCUCGAGCGCGGCAGACACGGCGGCCAUGGCCGGCUCGGGACGGCGCGUCCCUCGUGGUCGGGCCCCCUCCCCGCACCAUCCCUCUCCCCGGUGGCCGGCCACUGCAGGACGGCGCAAGGCGAGGCGGGCGUCCUCCUUCCUCCCAACAUGGCAGUGGCGCGCGGGGCCAUGGCGGUGGAUGGCCAGAUCUGCACGGCGGCGACCCUCCAAGGUCCAGCGGCGGCCGGAUCCGCGCGGGUCUGGCGGUGCUCCGAGCUCCGUGGCCGGAGUUCUGCAGCUCGCCAGGUGGAGCUCGCCGGCCAUGUGCGUCGCCCGCGCGGUCACGAUGGAAGGUUGCAGCCCCCACACGCGCCGCGGCGACGUUGCUCGCCAGUGUUGUGGCCCCCAUCAUUUCAGAUCUGCGGCCUUCUUCCUUACCCAGGAAGCCAAGCUUCUUCGUCACCGGGAUCCACACGCCCUCGUCCUGCUAGGUUUCGUUCACGGUGCUUCUCUGCUCCUGCUUGGUCCCCAGGUGCUUGCCUUCUUCAAAAAAAAAAUUUACAACGAAGGAAGCGAGCAUGUCUGAUCCCCUCCAUGCAUCUUAAUCCUUCUGCUAAAGAGAGGGUUUGCUGCCCGGUCGGGGAUCUCAACAAAAGAAACAAAACCAGAAAUAAGGCCUAUGAAAUUUCUUCCCUGCCUACUGCCGCCCUAAUUGGAGGUCCUUCACCGAAUGCAACAGAGAGUUUUGCCCAGGAGCUUGUUGAGAUGUCUGUUUCAGACCUAAAGUUUAAGGUACAUCAUCCCUCUUUGUAUGGUGAUGCUUGCCACAAGAAAUUUUUGAAUUCAGUUUUCAGUCAUCCAGUAUUUUAGGUUGUUCUGUUUGUAAUCAGGUUAGUUUUUACUUGCCUGCUUCUUUUUUUUGGGGAAUGUCUCCUGACAAUGGAAAUCAUUUGCAUUUUUAGAGACUGCCAGCCUUGGAACUUUUCUCAGUUACUUUCAAGGAAGGUGUAGAGCAUGAGGCAUUAUUAGAUUGAGAUGAUGAACUAUAUGAUGGUGAAUCAAGCGAACUUCAGAGUAUUGGCCUUCAGUCAGGUGGGACUUGCCCACUGCCUGAAAAUAGACAUGUCGAUGUUUCAGGAAGUCGACAACCUGUCAAUCCCCCUUCAUACGAAGUUUUACAGGUUUAUUUAACUGCUUGUCUUGCAAAUGUGAACAUCAACAACAGUAUGAGAUGAAAAUCAAAGUUUCUUGAAGAUUUUGGUGUAUCUUGUUGGAGCUUUUUCAAGUAAGAUGGAAAAAGAAAAGUGCAGCCUACUGCAUCUGCGGGCUGCGUGAUCUUUGCCUUCCACUACCGCCGCUACCCGAUUAGCCGGCAUUUUCUGGUGCCACCACCGUAUCAUCUGUCAAAGGACCAUCCAGAUGUCCAUUAGACACAUUACUACCAGCCUAAUGUGCUAAGCUAGAUGCUUUGUUCCACUACGCCUUAAUCGUAUAACUAUGUACCUAUUCACCUUCCCUUGUAAUAAUUCUGUAUUUGAUGGUCUUAUCUAUUGUUAGUUGUGUUCUUCCUAUUUUCUUUGUGAA